rnacentral:tRNA from 1 species
GGAGAGAGUCCGGAUGGUCAUGGAUGCUGUCUUGAAAACAUACUGUCCGCCAUUUGGCGGAUCAAGAGUUCGAAUCUCUUUCUCUCCG